rnacentral:rRNA from 1 species
AUUGAACGCUGGCGGAAUGCUUUACACAUGCAAGUCGAACGGCAGCACGGACUUCGGUCUGGUGGCGAGUGGCGAACGGGUGAGUAAUACAUCGGAAAGUGCCCAGUCGUGGGGGAUAACGUAGCGAAAGCUACGCUAAUACCGCAUCCGAUCCAAGGAUGAAAGCGGGGGACCGUAAGGACGAGCGCGAUUGGCACGGCCGUUGGCAGAUUAGGUAGUGGGUGGGGUAAAGGCUCACCAAGCCGACGAUCUGUAGCUGGUCUGAGAGGACGACCAGCCACACUGGGACUGAGACACGGCCCAGACUCCUACGGGAGGCAGCAGUGGGGAAUUUUGGACAAUGGGCGCAAGCCUGAUCCAGCCAUUCCGCGUGCAGGAUGAAGGCCCUCGGGUUGUAAACUGCUUUUGUACGGAACGAAAAGGCUCUGGUUAAUACCUGGGGCUCAUGACGGUACCGUAAGAAUAGGCACCGGCUAACUACGUGCCAGCCGCCGCAGUAA